GAAACACGGGUUCCCGUACGAUCACAGAAGUUAAGCAACGUUGAGCCUGGUCAGUAUCGAGAUGGGUGACCGCUUGGGAAUAUCUGGUGCUGU